CAUCAUGCCCCUUACUUGACCUGGGCGUACACACGUGCUACAAUGGGCGGGUACAAAGGGCUGCGAACCCGCGAGGGGGAGCGAAUCCCAAAAAGCCGCUCUCAGUUCGGAUUGCAGGCUGCAACUCGCCUGCAUGAAGCCGGAAUCGCUAGUAAUCGCGGAUCAGCAUGCCGCGGUGAAUACGUUCCCGGGCCUU
rnacentral:rRNA from 1 species